rnacentral:rRNA from 1 species
GAUGGACGCUAGCGAUAGGCUUAACACAUGCAAGUCGAGGGGUAACGUGUUGGAAGCUUGCUUCCGAUGACGACGACCGGCGGAUGGGUGCGUAACGCGUAUGCAACUUGCCUCACAGUGGAGAAUAACCCGGAGAAAUCCGGACUAAUACUCCAUACACUCUUAAGUACGCCUGUACAUGAGAGGAAAGAUUUAUCGCUGUGAGAUAGGCAUGCGUCCUAUUAGGUAGUUGGUGAGGUAACGGCUCACCAAGCCGACGAUAGGUAGGGGUGCUGAGAGGCAGAUCCCCCACAUUGGGACUGAGACACGGCCCAAACUCCUACGGGAGGCAGCAGUGAGGAAUAUUGGUCAAUGGAGGAAACUCUGAACCAGCCAAGUCGCGUGAAGGAAGAAUGUCCUAAGGAUUGUAAACUUCUUUAGCGAGCGAGUAAGGACUUCCACGUGAUGGGAGUUUGAAAGUAGCUCGAGAAUAAGUAUCGGCUAACUCCGUG